CCUACGGGCGGCAGCAGUGGGGAAUAUUGGGCAAUGGGCGCAAGCCUGACCCAGCAACGCCGCGUGAAGGAAGAAGGCUCUCGGGUUGUAAACUUCUUUUCUCAGGGACGAAGCAAGUGACGGUACAUGAGGAAUAAGCCUCGGCUAACUACGUGCCAGCAGCCGCGGUAAAACGUAGGUGGCAAGCGUUAUCCGGAUUUAAUGGGUGUAAAGGGAGAGUAGGUGGGGCUGCAAGUCAGAUGUGAAAACCACGGGCUCAACCUGUGGCCUGCAUUUGAAACGGUAAUUCGUGAGUACUGGAGAGGCAGACGGAAUGCGGGGUGUAGCGGUGAAAUGCGUAGAUAUAGCGCAGAACGCCGAUGGCGAAGGCAGCAUGCUGG
rnacentral:rRNA from 1 species